CAAGUACUCCCUCCGUCCGAAAAAACUUGUCAUUAAAAUAGACAAAAAGGGGUAUAUCUAGAACUAAAAUACAUCUAAAUACAUCCCCUUUUAUUCAUUUUGAUGACAAGUAUUUCCGGACGGAGGGAGUAAUUC
rfam:Triticum aestivum genome assembly, contig: Triticum_aestivum_CS42_TGACv1_scaffold_529574_6DL